AUUCCUGCUUUUGCAAUCUGGGAGGAACAACAAAAGGAGUCUCUCUGUGCCUCUGUCCCUCAGAUGGGGGUGCAUGGGCUUCCACCAGCAAAACAUUUCCAUGUGGCUCUCGAUGGGCAGGGGACUCAGCAGCCAGCAUGGACCUGCUUUUCUAAAACUUGGGUCUGAGUCCAGGUCCAGCCCCUUCUUUGCUAUGUGGACUUUGAGGAGCAAUUGAAUCUCUGUGUCUUGUUACCAUUCAGCCAGCUGUCCACCAAUUCAGAGCGUGUUCACUGAGCACCUGCUACGUGCUGGCCUUGGGUUAAGUGCUGGAGAUACCAAUGUGCCCUCCUGGAGCGUGUGGACCAGACAGACAGAAUUAAACCACUAACAACAAGUAAGAGUGAGGGCUGAGGUCUCAGAGGCCUUACAGUGGACACAUGGACAGAAAGUCCAGUCCUGGGGAGUCAAUGACAUGCAAGAUAAAUCUCUGAGCAGCAAGGACAGUCAAGAUGCAAGCGUGGCUCCUUGGACUCUGAAACCUGUGUCAUUUCCUCCCUGCUUUGCAGUGCUGCCCACACAACAGCUGUUGGGUGCCGGGAAUUAGGAAUCCGGAUUCAGAGCCUGCCCAUGUGUGGCUGAGGCGAUGGGCCUUCCCAGGUGUGGUGCCACAUGCCCAGAAGGCUGCUCUACAGAGGGAGGAGAACGGGGCUGGUUGCAGAGGGAAGCUGAGUUGUCUCCCCAGCAAACACUCCCAGGCACCCCUUCCUGCUUUCGAAGAGAACCUCCAUUUUCUUUGGGAAGCCCCCCUUCCCCAUAGGAUGGUGGCGAUCCCCUUUACCUCUCCAGUGAUCCACUCGGCACCUGACUCAGCUGUGGCCAAAGCGGCACGGGCCAGGGCUAGAGGAGCUUCUGGAGGGCUCCUAAGAAAGAGACGCCUGGGAAAAGCAGCCCUCUCUAGGAUUAGAUGCAGUCCUGUCUUCAUGUGUGGGCCACCGUGAUGCCAGGAAAGGAGCACUCGCCACAGAGCCAGCGAUGGAGGUGAGUGGGAAGGAAAGACGGGAAAGACCAGAUGCCGGAACACGACGGAGCCUCCAGAUAAGGCCACUGGGGCAUCCUACGUCAGGACCCGCUGUGAUGUGGGAAAACAUACUUUUCUCAUUGUGUGGGCAAGACAGAGUUUCGCUGUUGUUGCCCAGGCUGGAGUGCAAUGGCACGAUCUCGGCUCACUGCGGCUUUUGCCUCCCAGAUUCAAGCGAUUGUCCUGCCUCAGCCUCCCAGGCAGCUGGGAUUACAGGUGCCUGCCACUAUGCCUGGCUAAUUAUUGUAUUGUUAGUAGAGACGGUCUUUCACCAUGUUGGCUAGGCUGGUCUUGAACUGCUGACCUCAAGUGAUCCACCUGCCUCGGCCUCCCAAAGUGCUGGGGUUACAAGUGUGAGCCACCAUGCCUGGCCUCUUCAGUUCGACUCUCAACAUCCUCCCUCAACCCUUCUCAAAGUUCUGGGAGGCUGACCUGCAAGGAAUGCAUCCGAGGUCUGCUCCUUCCCUGCAAUGAGCUUUGGCCUCCAUUUGGGUUUGGCCAAUGGGAGACACCAGGAGGAGUCUAGAGGGUGCAGCCUGCCUUUGCAUUUCCAAAAACCCGUGCUGUUGCUGGGGUUGGCCUCAUGCCUCAAACUCAAAGCUGCAGCUCCUGCUGGGCUGUCCCCACUUCCAUGCAGGCAUGCUCUCCAAAUUCUGUUAACUGCUUCGUGACCCUUGUCCCUGAAGAACUAGAGGUGGUAUCACCUCCCUGCUGUGGCACCCACCUGGGUAACGCACUAUUACACUGGAUUUCCUUAAAUUCACACUGAACACUUGUCAACAGGUCUCCCAUUGAACUCUUCUCAGAUCACCCAGUUUUAGUGGGCCAUCUGUUUUCAGCCAGGACCUUGAUGGAUAUACACUCGCAAUACACAUGGGACUGGUUACCUAGUGGUGAAUGAUAGAACAAGACAGAAAAUCUUCCAGUGGAUGAAGGAGCAACAAAGUACCCAGCAUUUUCAGCUCUAGGGUCAAGUUUUGACUUGCAAACAUGUCGCUCAGUUUGCCCAGCAGCAAUUAAGGUGAAGCUGUGGGGUGGGGGAAUAAGAGGGGAAGAGAAGGAUGAUGUUAGGUAUGCCAGGAGUUAAGUUUCCAAAGCAGGGAUGGCCAGCAUGGCCCACUUUGCAAUUUUCUGCCAAAAUAUUUUAAAUGAAACAGCUGUGUAUGAGCAAAACUGCUGAGAAUUGUUCCAGCUCUGAGCAUGAAUCUGAAUCACUCAUCUUUGGUAUUUGACAGGCUGUGUAAUUGCUCUAAACCCUAUUAUCUUCCCUAGUAGUUGUUGAAGUGUCAUUAGGAUACCUCAAAUGAAAGGCUAAAUUCUCCUAUAUACACAAUUUUAAUAAUUACAGACUUUUUUUUUUUUCCUAUUUAGAAAUGCAAAGCUCUGCUCAAAAAGGGAGGUGCCAGGAUUGUAGGAUGGGUCAGAGACUUCGGAAGCUAGACUGGGAGGCUGUUAUAUGUACUUUUAAUUUUCUCUUGACCAAUUAACCUCAUGUGACUUCUAAAUUUUCUACCAUAUGCAGAGAGAAGACAGCAAGGCAUACAAAUGAUCUGCAAAUAUUAUUGAGCACCUACUAUGUGCCAACUAUUGUUUUAGGCUCUGGGGACAUAAGAAUGAAUAACCCUGAGAAGGUGGCCAUAAUAAUGUUUGUGCCAUAUCACGCUAUCUUGUGGUUUAUUUUAUGUUUCUGCUAUGCUAGAUAGGGAGGAGAACGGGAAGACAGAGCUAUGUCUUGAUUAUCUUGGUAUCUGCAGUAUGUAGUCCAGCUCAACAGGCAUUUGUUGAAUGACUGAAUGACUAUUUACAGAGGGCACACUAUGGGCCAGGAACCUGUGGCCAUGAACAAGAUGGAUGCAGCCCUUGCCUUCUUGGAGCUCAUAUUUGGCGGGGGGUCGCCAAGAUAUAUGCUGCACAGUACAUCAUGAGCACAAGGAAUGUUUCCUAGAGAAAGUACUGGAUGUUUUGCCUCAACAGUCCACAUCAGUGUGCAGGUAAUUAGCAUUACUCGGGGCACUGAAGGAAGGGUUGUCACAAUGACAACAAAGCAGUACCCAUUGAGAGGCAGGAGGGCGUGGUCUGAACUCCAGCUUGGCCAAUGGCCACUGUUGGAACUUGGGUGAGUUAUCUCUCUAAACCUCAGUUUCCCUUCUAGAAAAUAGAAAUGAUACUACUUAACUCUCAAGUUACUGGCCAUAGGCAGAAUUCUCUUGAUCUCUGUCCCCUGGUGUUACACCCUGUAGAAUCUCCUAGCUUUGAGUGUGGCUAGGACCAUCUAUCUAUCUAUCAAUCAUCUAUCCAUCCAUUCAUCCAUCUAUCCAUCCAUCCAUCUCUAUUUAGAUAAAUAUAUGUAUGUAUUUAUUCAUUCUAUAAUCUAUCUAUAUUUAUCUAUCUAGAUAUGUGUCUAUCAAUUUAUCAUUAUCUAUUUAUAUCUAUCAUCUAUCUCUACAUGUAAAUAUAUCUAGAUCUAUCUGUAUCUAUAUCUAUUAAUAUGUCUGUCUGUCUAUCUAUUUACCUUUCUAUCAUCUAUGACUCCCUCUUGCUUGUAUACCCUAGCAAGAUUCUCCUUGCUGGUGCCAUGAAGUCUGCAGCCACGUUGAGGAAGCCCUGAGGGCAAAGAACCGUGGGAAGCUUCUAGAAUCUGAGGGUGGCCUCUGGGUGACAAUCAACAAAAUGCCAGGGACCUGCUCAGAUAGCCACAAGGAAAUGAAUUCUGACCACAACCUGAGGGAGCAUAGCAGUGGGUUGUUCCCCAGUAGAGCCUCCAGAUGAGAACACAGCCUAGCCAAUGUCACAAGGAUUGCAGCCUUGUGAGACUCUGAGCAGAGGACCUACUUAAGCAUUCCUGGACUCCUGGACAUAAACUGAGAAAUAAUAAAUGUAUAUUGCUGGAGGCCA